GAUGAACGCUAGCGGGAGGCUUAACACAUGCAAGUCGAGGGGUAGGAGUAGCAAUACUUCGAGACCGGCGGACGGGUGCGUAACGCGUAUGCAACAUGCCUUGUGCAGGGGGAUAGCCCGUGGAAACGCGGAUUAAUAUUCCAUAGAUCAGUAAUAUCGCAUGGUAUAACUGGUAAAGUUGAGGCGGCACAAGAUUGGCAUGCGUCUGAUUAGCUGGUUGGUAGGGUAAUGGCCUACCAAGGCGACGAUGUUUAGGGGUCCUGAGAGGGUGAUCCCCCACACUGGUACUGAGACACGGACCAGACUCCUACGGGAGGCAG
rnacentral:rRNA from 1 species